CGCAAGGAAGAAGAACGAGUCCAUGAAGAAGACAAACAGACAUAGUCGAGCGGAUCCUCACACACACGACGUUAUCGGAACCAACCCGAAGAAGCAACACCGGAAAGAAGCAAACAACAUCGUAAACAAACAUCACAUAAACAUGACAUGAUGCACAACCAAGUAUGAUGCAUGUCCGGUUUAAUGAGGCAUGGCAUGGCAUGGCAAAGUGCACAAGCAAUUCUACAAAUUAAGUGGAGCUCAAUAUGCAAUGAGUUGCAUAUUGACGAAACACCACAUUCAAGUUAUUUAGUUCGAUCUCGUUUAUGUACCCAACUAGAUUAAAUGUUGUUAGCAUGGCAAGAGGGAGAAGCAAAGUAAAACUACCUAUCUAGUCAAGUUUAAAUGAGGCCGGAAGUAACGAACAACAAUUCCGGUAAAACCCCAUGACAUAUUAUAGAUUUGGUACUGUUCUGCCCUAAACACAAUUUUAGAGUUAAUAAACAUGCAAAGUAAAUCCACCAUGUUAAACUAGGCAUUUUUCUACCCCAUUUACAUAUAUAAUUUAUUUAAAACCGAGCUAUGGUUAUUAAGUUAUGAAAUAAAUCAUUUAACAUGGCAUAUGAGCAAAAUUAAUGCAAACAGCAGUUUAAACAUUUCAAACAUGGAUGAAAGUGGCAUAUUAUGAAACUACACAAAAUUCUAAGCACUUUUCAUAUAUUAAGUUUUUACAUGUGAUGCAUGGUUGGUGAGUUAUUAAAUGCAAGAAGAACAGGGUCUUUUCUGCAAAUCCCUGGAAAUUAGCUAAAUUCGUCCCGAGGAAAAAAACACUAUAUGGGCCGAAACUGGCUAGCCCAACAGGAGGAAAAAAAAGAGGGGCGCUGGGGCAGCUCACCCAUGGGCCAAGCCCAGUCGGAGGAAGAGGCAGGCCGCGAAGGGAGGCGCUGGGCCGGAUCUGCUUGUGGCCCAUGCGAUCGCUAGAGCUGGCCCAGGGCACUGCGCUAUGCGUGAAGUAGAGGAGGGGGUCGUGCUCGUCGCAGAGUCAACGCCGGCACUGCCUCAUCCUGUCACUUGAAGCAGGGGAAGCAAAGGUCAGCGACAUGGUCGCCAGGCACGGGAACGACGUGCAAGUAGGCGAGGGGCAGCGAGCUCGACCAGGUCACCCGAUUGGUCGCCGGACUUGGCCGGGCGGCGCUCAGGACGGAAUGGAGGUCGGCGGUGGCUGGCGAGGAAGGAGACGGCGGGGCACGUCCUGGCAGGGCGGCGCGACAAACUGCAUAAGGGCCGCCCUGGUUGGGUACUCCGGCGAGGUUGGAGGUCGCCGGUUUCCUGUCUCCUGCGGCGCGCGGGGAAGAUGGCGCAGGGCGAGGCUCGGUUCGAGAUGGCGCUGAUGGAGGCUGCAGGAAACUCCAUGGAGGGCGUCGGCAUGGCAGAUCGAGGCGGCCACAACAAGAACUUGACGCACGGGCGAGGAAGAGGGACUUGGCGCAGCAGCGGAUGCAGGAGAUGGCGGCGUCGGGACCUCAAGGCCGAAAUCAAAACAUGGUGCUGGAGCUCCUGUUGAGGUACAGAGAGAUGAAGAGGUUAGGGAGAGAGAGUUGCAGGGACGAGGGAACGAAAAGAGAGGGUCGCGAGGAGCUGGCCUGGCGGUUCCGGUAGAGCUCCGGUGAGGUCUCCGGCCGGUGGUGGCGCGUGGGGUCGAGCGAGGCUCUCGGGCGGCGGCAGUUGGGUGGAUGGAUCGAUGGAAUUGGAAAUUUUUUUGGUGGUGGCUGAUAGGUGCGAAGGGGAUCCCGAGGUGGGAGAAAGAUAGUGGUAGCGGCGUCUGGACAGGGGAGGAUUUGGAUCGAGGAGGAGGUGGCUGGUUCGAUGGAUCUGGGAGGAUCCCGAGGAAGGAGGGAGUUGGUCGGCUGGCGGCGGAGAG
rnacentral:lncRNA from 1 species